GACUCCGAACUAAACUGUGGCGUUUAUCGUCGCGCUUCCCCUAAAAAGGAAUAGGUUCGGAGUUUUUC
rnacentral:ncRNA from 12 species